GUAGCCCCGCCUCCAGUCCGCGGCCGCCCGGGAUUCUGCGGGGUUCUCCGUGGGGAUCUCUGCGAUCUCCUUUCCUUCUUCUGUCUUUGGUCACCGUGGUGGAGUUAAGUUGCGAACUGAGGCAACAAAAACGCACCUCCCUAGCACACCCUCCCUAGACUGUCUAGACACCACGCCCACAGAGAAAGAAAGGGCAAUCGGGACGGCUGUCACUACAAACGCCAUCUUUCACGUGGGCGGAACUUGUCUUUGCUUGGCGCGUCGCUGUUUCCUCGUGGGACUCCACUAAGUCUUCCUGAUUCCUGUGUACAGGCAUUGGCCUGAGCCAAGCCAACAGGGGCACCCAGCUGCAUCAUGUUCUGAUGUCUGAGUCGGAUAGACCUUCAGCUUCUCAUCCUGCUUUGCUAAAGAGCUGAGGCAACCCCAGCAGGAAACUUGUAACUGCCUGAGAUGAGUAUGAGUCUAUAGUGGAUAUGAUGAGCUUAGUGUCCUCGUGAGUCAACCAACUUUCAGUGUCACAGACUGCAACAAAGCAUUC